UCUGUUCAAUUAGUUACGGGUUGUUACAGUCAUCAGUGGAUUAGGCUCGAUAUCGAGCGUCCUCGAUAUUUAGCCGUCUCCUGUCUUCCUGGGCUCGUGCGUGCGCGUGCUCAGUCGAGCGUAUUCGGCCGUCUCUAACCUUUACCCGCCCGAGCCAGGGGUUCGUCCGUCGGCGAACUCCGCUGAGCGUGCUCAGCCUCUGGGCGAUCCGUCUAGCGACCAAGGACCCGGGACGGUGCGUCCGUCGUCUCCGCUGAGUGUCAGCAGCACUUGGUCACUCUCCGCUACGAACGUAGGGAAAAGGGAAGGUGAAAACUUGUUAAUGGAUUUACAAUCCUACGAUCAAGUUUAUUUAAGAGACUUUGGCUUAACUUUUCGCUGUACAACAAGCACUGAAUAAAACUGAAUCCAAAGAAGGCAUAUGAUCCAACUUUACAAUACAUAAGCAAAGGUGCUCAUAUGAUGGGAGUGUCAACGGUGCGCGGUGAUAAUGAAAUUUUGUAUUACAAUAUGAUUCUUUGGCUGUGUGGUUCAUUUCUGUGGGAAAAAUUGGCUGAUGAAGUUAAUGUUCAGGAGGAGAAGGAAAAAGCUUUCGGAAAUAUAUUAUAGAUAAUUUUUUGGACAAAUUUUUGUGGAUCAGUCCCACAAGUUAUGCAUAAAUUUAUAACUUUAUUAAGCAGCAUGAAAUUUAAUGAUUGAUAAAAAGCGUGGUAAUAAGAAAGACAUUAAGAAAAUAUUAGAAGAUAUAGAUCCUGAUGAUGAAUAUGAUAUUAAAAUUGUUCAAAAAACAAAAAAAUUAUAAUUGGUUGACGAAAUGCUUAAAACAGUGGAGAAUGAAAUUGAAUAGUAAAAAAGAUAUAAGUCAAUCAUAUCCAUGAUGAUUCAGAAAACGAUUCAAUGGAGUCUUUGAUAAAACAUUCACAUACGACAAGUACGACAGAAGAAACCAACCAGGAAUGAUAAAAUAAGACAAAAAGUAACGUCUUUGGAUAAUUCGACUGCUUCUGAAACCGAGCCUGAGAACGAGGUCAAGACUUACUUUUUCUAAGAGGAAAGUAACUGUCAAGAACACAUUACAAUAAACCAACACUACCUGAAACUGAAUCGGAAGAUGUUCGGUCCGUUUUCAAAAGAUGGCUCCAG
rnacentral:lncRNA from 1 species